GGGCUGCCCAAAUAUAGAUCCACAUCCUCUGUUGUGUUGAUCAGAAAAUCAAGUAUACAAACGUAAUCGCAUGUCAAAGGCUCGUCUGGACAGUGACACUGCUUGAAAGCCAUCAGGCUUCUAAUAACAAGCUCUGCGUCAUCUUCCGCAAAGAACCUCGGCGUUUUUAGAUCUCCACUUUCAAAUUUUAUUUCAAUUGGGCAUGCCUCUACACUCGCCUUAAACUUCACUUUUGCUUCGUGCAGCAUAGCGGCAUUGUAUAGCUUCAUGAAUCAUGACUGGUUUGUUACUCUUCAACUUUGGAUGGUUGUAAGAUUGAUAUUUUCGAACCAAAUCAGUGAAGUGUAGCGGUUUCUUCGAAAAGUAUUCUUCCAUGCUCUUGUUUCUCCCGAAGGUCUUCGAUGCUUUCAUCCUUGGGCCUCUGAUUAGUGAAGCAUCUAGUAUUCCAGAAACAAUGCAAGCAAGAGAAGCAAUUGCAGGUACAGUUAGGAUUUUCAUUUUUUCAAUAUCUGGAGUAAAUAAGUAGUUUGAUAAGUUGCAGUGAACAAGAGCAUAGAAAGAAGAAUAUCUUCAUUUAUUAUUAGAGCUGUAGAUAGAGAAUCCAUAUAAAUCUUCAAGAACAAAGCAAGGAAGCUCGAUGAUGAACACAAGAUCCGAAAGAAUUAUCCUUGCAAACUCGUCACUAGAUAACUCAUCAAAUGUCUCUACGUAACGUAACAAUGACAUAUUUUUUUUCUUUUUUAUGGUUGUUAUAGUAAAUAAAUAAUAUAUACAAUAUCAUGUAAAAUAGUAUUAUAAAUUAAUAUGAUUCGCAUUAAUAACAGUAUAUAGGGUAUGCUAUUAGGACUUAAAUUUAUUGUAAUGCACUCUUUAAUUUUGACGGCAAGCUCAGUCCAAUUUAUCCUUGUCCUACAAAACUCUUACCAAAUAUU
rnacentral:misc_RNA from 1 species